rnacentral:rRNA from 1 species
AUUGAACGCUGGCGGAAUGCUUUACACAUGCAAGUCGAACGGUAGAGGGGGCAACCCCUCGAGAGUGGCGAACGGGUGAGUAAUAUAUCGGAACGUGCCCAGUCGUGGGGGAUAACGUAGCGAAAGUUACGCUAAUACCGCAUACGAUCUAAGGAUGAAAGCGGGGGACUCGCAAGAGCCUCGCGCGAUUGGAGCGGCCGAUAUCAGAUUAGGUAGUUGGUGGGGUAAAGGCUCACCAAGCCAACGAUCUGUAGCUGGUCUGAGAGGACGACCAGCCACACUGGAACUGAGACACGGUCCAGACUCCUACGGGAGGCAGCAGUGGGGAAUUUUGGACAAUGGACGCAAGUCUGAUCCAGCCAUUCCGCGUGCAGGAUGAAGGCCCUCGGGUGUAAGCUGCUUUGUACGGAACGAAAAGGUCUGGGUUAAUACCCUGGGCUCAUGACGGUACCGUAAGAAUAAGCACCGGCUAACUACGUG